rnacentral:rRNA from 1 species
GUCGAGGGGUACAGGGUGCUUGCACCGCUGACGACCGGCGCACGGGUGCGUAACGCGUAUACAAUCUACCUUAUAGAGGGGGAUAGCCCAGAGAAAUUUGGAUUAAUACCCCAUAGUACUUAGAGACAGCAUUGUCUUUUUGUUAAACAUUUAUGGCUAUAAGAUGAGUAUGCGUCCUAUUAGUUAGUUGGUAAGGUAACGGCUUACCAAGACCGCGAUAGGUAGGGGUCCUGAGAGGGAGAUCCCCCACACUGGUACUGAGACACGGACCAGACUCCUACGGGAGGCAGCAGUGAGGAAUAUUGGACAAUGGGCGAGAGCCUGAUCCAGCCAUGCCGCGUGCAGGAAGACGGCCCUAUGGGUUGUAAACUGCUUUUAUACAGGAAGAAACACUCCCUCGUGAGGGAGCUUGACGGUACUGUAAGAAUAAGGAUCGGCUAACUCCGUGCCAGCAGCCGCGGUAAUACGGAGGAUCCAAGCGUUAUCCGGAAUCAUUGGGUUUAAAGGGUCCGUAGGCGGGACAAUAAGUCAGCGGUGAAAGUCUGUGGCUCAACCAUAGAAUUGCCAUUGAUACUGUUGUUCUUGAGUGUUUAUGAAGUGGUUAGAAUAUGUAGUGUAGCGGUGAAAUGCUUAGAUAUUACAUGGAAUACCGA